UGGGGAAUUUUGGACAAUGGGCGCAAGCCUGAUCCAGCCAUUCCGCGUGCAGGAUGAAGGCCCUCGGGUUGUAAACUGCUUUUGUACGGAACGAAAAGGCUCUGGUUAAUACCUGGGGCUCAUGACGGUACCGUAAGAAUAAGCACCGGCUAACUACGUGCCAGCAGCCGCGGUAAUACGUAGGGUGCAAGCGUUAAUCGGAAUUACUGGGCGUAAAGCGUGCGCAGGCGGUUUUGUAAGACAGGUGUGAAAUCCCCGGGCUUAACCUGGGAACUGCAUUUGUGACUGCAAAGCUAGAGUGCGGCAGAGGGGGAUGGAAUUCCGCGUGUAGCAGUGAAAUGCGUUAGAUAUGCGGAGGAACACCGAUGGCGAAGGCAAUCCCCUGGGCCUGCACUGACGCUCAUGCACGAAAGCGUGGGGAGCAAACA
rnacentral:rRNA from 1 species